rnacentral:tRNA from 1 species
GUUUUGGUAGUUUAAGAAAAACUUUGGUCUUGUAAACCGAAAUUAAAGAAUAGUUUCUUUUCAAAACU